ACUCUGGCACUAAGGGGCACCUCUGCCAGGUUAAAGGUGGCAGAAACUCUGAGGAAGUCCAACUCGAGAGGCAGGUUCUUCUUCGCUUCAUCCACCAGCCACAUGAAUUCAAAAUCUGGGAAAAGUUGCUUCACGGCCAGGACAAGCACCUGAAAGCCACCAAGCAACCUGUCAGCCAGUCAGCCCACGGCCCCCACCACGGAAGGUACAUGUCCUACCCCGCUGGGGGAUGAUUCUGUGCGCUGUGUAUUCAGAUGCUGAUUACUGGGCCCAGAGAUCAGGUCGCAGCCCUGACAGGCAUUGCCAAGCAUCUCCUGUCUUACUUUCAUGUAAAAAUUGUUUUCUGUCACCUCUGGUUGGUUAAUAAAGAGCUGAGCAGCCAAUA
rnacentral:lncRNA from 1 species